CGAGAGCAAGGAAUAAUUGUAUCAAUAAAAAAGAAAAGGAAGAGAUCAUUCGAUUUAUGUGAUUCUUCUGUCUUCCAUUUCUCUCUUGACACAGUUUGUUCCUUCUCCCCUCUCCCU
rnacentral:ribozyme from 1 species